GGUGAGGCCCCGCUGCGGCUGCGGACGCCGGCCUUUACAGGUCCGCCGCUCUCCCGCCUACUUGCUCCCUCUGCUAGGAGGCUGCGGUGAGGUGGAAGGAGGAGGCGGUAGCCGCGCUUGCGGCGGCAGGGUACCGCAGGGUACCGGUGGAGGCUCAGCUUCCGCGGCAGGCGCGGCUUCGAUGCGGAGGUCGGCAACGGCCUCGGGCGCCCCGCCGCUUCGGCACUUUCCGUCGCCUGCCCACUUCGGUUUUUCCUGCCUCAGCUGUGCUCUGCGCCUGCGCAACCCUUGCAGCCCCCUGGUUCCUCCUCAUUGUAGUUUGAGGUUCGGUCUUUUUCGGUUAAGCUCGGGUAUUUCCGUUUGUGGAGGUGACUAUUCGGCGGUCUAGCGGGUACUUCCUGGGACGCGCACCCAGUAGAGUAGGAAGCAGUGCUUGCGACCAUUUUUGAGCGAGGCGGGUAGUGAGUGGCCGUUUGGCUCUCGGUGGUUCCAUUCAAUCUUACACUUACGCGGAGCGCAGCGGAACCGGGCUAGACUGGAUCUUUGCUCUCUGAGGAUUCAGCAAACGCAGGGCCUGGACGUUUUAAGGGACGUUGUCGAAGGGUGCAGAAGCAGGCUCCCCUAAUCCCACCGCAAUCCCAGAUUCGGAUUGAUGUAAACUAGUUUAAAUUUCGAAUUGCUCUGGAGGCUUGAGGCAUCAAGUUGGCUUGAGCCCAGGCGCUCAGGGAUACCCUAGGCAACACAUCGAGACUCUUGUUCCUUAAAAUAGAUUUCUAUUGUGCAACAGGCUGUGAGCAACUGUGUAGUUCUAGGGUCCAAGGUGGACGUGGGUAUAGGACUCAUAACUGCGGCUUAGAGAACAGCAGAAGUGGCAUUGGCUCUCUCGAGUGGCAUUGUGCCUCUCGAUUGGCUUAUGUUGAGUGAGCUUAGGGUGCUUGGGAGGCAGAAGGAAAUAGCUCAGGAUGGGUCAGUGACUUCAGGCUGUCAUCUAGGAAUCCAGCCGAAGCCAGAGUCUAAAUGCUUCUUGUUGCUUGUCUGGUCACAGCUUGAAAAACAUGGCCAGAACAGGUUCGGACUCUGUUCUGCUCUUUGCCAUCUGACAGCAUUUGUGCCACCCAGCAUGACCCGCGGUUCUACAUUCCAGACUUAGCCAGCAGCACCCUCCUCCUCCUGACUUUUUAAGGCUAGCUCAUUCUGAGACUCAGACAAAUCACUCUAGAACUGUUCAUUACUGUCUUGUCAGUUACCAUUUUUGUCAGUUACUAUCUAUGCUGACUAUUUUUGUGCAGCUGUUGUUUUUCUGGCUUGCUUUCUUCCAGAUAGGAUCCAUCUCUGUAGUCCAAACUCAGCACGUAGUCCAGGCUGAUCUUGAACUAACAUUAUUCCUGUUGUCUCUGUUUCCUGAGUGCUGUGGUUACAGAUACAUCCCUCCUUUUUCUGACCCUUCUAAAGUCCUAUGGCUGUGGCUACAUGGGGCUCUGGCUAAUCUUUCUGGUCCUACAGUUCUACUGACUGGGGUAGCACUUGCCUGCCUGUGUUCAUUCACUACCCCUCAGAUUGGAUUCUAAAUUAUGCUUAGCUUAACUCAGGAUCUUUGGUAGCCUGUGAGACAGGAGAGAUCAACACUGAAAAUUAUGGGGACUUAAGAAAGGAAUAGAGUGGCUGGAGAGAUGGCUCAGUGGUUAAGUGCAUUGACCGUACUUACAGAGGUCCUGAGUUCCCAGCAACCACAUGGUGGCUCACAAGCAUCUGUAAUGGGAUCUGACACCCUCUUCAGGUGUGUCUGAAGACAGCUACAGUGUACUCACAUACAUGAAAUU
rnacentral:lncRNA from 1 species